rnacentral:misc_RNA from 1 species
GUGGUCCAAUAAAAUUCAUUUCCUCGCUAAUAGACUAAUGGAAUAUUUACAUUCAUCCUGAUUUACAAAACAUUCACAAGGGACGAGAUGCGAGUUUAAAUUUUGGGAAUUGGAGCACACAAAAGGCAAUAAAGAUCAAACAAUACCAUGUAUUUCAGUUGGUCUAACAAAAAUAGUCAUCAUUCUUCCCUUUUUAUAAUUUUUCGGUUAUUCUCUUUUGUCAUCGGGAUGCCAGCGACCAAAAAUUCAGGAGAAAAGAAGGUAAUGCAGCAAACCAGCUAAUGAAAGCCAUGGCUGUAGCAGUUUCAAACUGCACACAAUGAUUCUCAGAACAGUUGCCAAGAUCAUUAUCAAUAAGGACUGUGAUGCCAGCAGAAGCACAAGCUGCAGCAAACGUAAGAGUGGAUGUGAUCCCAUCACCAAUAGCAAACAAGCUGACAACUUGAUAGUUUUGCAAGAAGCGCAUCACCAAGAGAGCAUAAAUGUCCACAAUAGCUAAGGUGAGGCUCCACAAACACUGCAAACCAGCAGCCGCAACAAGGAUAGCGGAAAGCAGUAACGGAAGGGAAGUCACUCGUGGAGGCCAUGACAGCAAGUGCUGCAGCCGCAAAGAAAAACUGAAAGACACGCAACACAAGGCCGCCUUUCGUGCCAGGCAUUCCUUGUAUAUCCUUCAUCCUAACUAUUGGCGCGUUGUUGUUAUUGUUUCCACCUCCCGUCGUCGGAGGAUCUUCCACCGGAUGAACAGACGCAUGGCUCACAUUCAUCUCUCCACCCAAGCCGGGCACACCCCUUAAUUCAUUGAUUUGUCUUCUGUUGCAUUAGUUAUUUGAGUAAUUUCACUUAAUAGUGAGAAAAAGAUAACAAUCGCAUGGGACAAUAACGGAAAGCUCUCAAUUUCGGCGGGCGAUUCUAUUGGGACAAAUCUCGAUGGAUCUACAAACUCUCCGAUAGAAGAAGGAUCUACAAACUCUACUAACAGGCGUCUCUUUCUUCCCCUUUCUAAUGGAAGCAAAGAUGAGUUUGCAAAUAAUGGUCAAUUAACACUAAUCGCCACAUAAUUCAUUUUUAAUAAAUUAUUUGUAAAUUCAUUGGACACUCCCUCAACCUCCUGC